rnacentral:rRNA from 1 species
GACGAACGCUGGCGGCGUGCUUAACACAUGCAAGUCGAACGGUGAAGCGCCUUCCUUUUUGGUGGGUGUGGAUGAGUGGCGAACGGGUGAGUAACACGUGAGUAACCUGCCCCCUUCUUCUGGAUAACCGCAUGAAAGUGUGGCUAAUACGGGAUAUUCUGGGUCUGUCGCAUGAUGGGUCUGGGAAAGAUAUUGUUUCGGUGGGGGAUGGGCUCGCGGCCUAUCAGCUUGUUGGUGGGGUGAUGGCCUACCAAGGCGGUGACGGGUAGCCGGCCUGAGAGGGUGGACGGUCACACUGGGACUGAGACACGGCCCAGACUCCUACGGGAGGCAGCAGUGGGGAAUAGUGCACAAUGGGCGCAAGCCUGAUGCAGCGACGCCGCGUGAGGGAUGGAGGCCUUCGGGUUGUGAACAUCUUUCGCCAGUGAAGCAGGCCUGCCUCGUUUGUGGGUGGGUUGACGGUAGCUGGAUAAGAAGCGCCGGCUAACUACGUG